rnacentral:rRNA from 1 species
GGUUAAGCGACUAAGCGUACACGGUGGAUGCCCUGGCAGUCAGAGGCGAUGAAGGACGUGCUAAUCUGCGAUAAGCGUCGGUAAGGUGAUAUGAACCGUUAUAACCGGCGAUUUCCGAAUGGGGAAACCCAGUGUGUUUCGACACACUAUCAUUAACUGAAUCCAUAGGUUAAUGAGGCGAACCGGGGGAACUGAAACAUCUAAGUACCCCGAGGAAAAGAAAUCAACCGAGAUUCCCCCAGUAGCGGCGAGCGAACGGGGAGGAGCCCAGAGCCUGAAUCAGUGUGUGUGUUAGUGGAAGCGUCUGGAAAGGCGCGCGAUACAGGGUGACAGCCCCGUACACAAAAAUGCACAUGCUGUGAGCUCGAUGAGUAGGGCGGGACACGUGGUAUCCUGUCUGAAUAUGGGGGGACCAUCCUCCAAGGCUAAAUACUCCUGACUGACCGAUAGUGAACCAGUACCGUGAGGGAAAGGCGAAAAGAACCCCGGCGAGGGGAGUGAAAAAGAACCUGAAACCGUGUACGUACAAGCAGUGGGAGCCUCUUAAUGGGGUGACUGCGUACCUUUUGUAUAAUGGGUCAGCGACUUAUAUUCUGUAGCAAGGUUAACCGAAUAGGGGAGCCGAAGGGAAACCGAGUCUUAACUGGGCGUUAAGUUGCAGGGUAUAGACCCGAAACCCGGUGAUCUAGCCAUGGGCAGGUUGAAGGUUGGGUAACACUAACUGGAGGACCGAACCGACUAAUGUUGAAAAAUUAGCGGAUGACUUGUGGCUGGGGGUGAAAGGCCAAUCAAACCGGGAGAUAGCUGGUUCUCCCCGAAAGCUAUUUAGGUAGCGCCUCGUGAAUUCAUCUCCGGGGGUAGAGCACUGUUUCGGCAAGGGGGUCAUCCCGACUUACCAACCCGAUGCAAACUGCGAAUACCGGAGAAUGUUAUCACGGGAGACACACGGCGGGUGCUAACGUCCGUCGUGAAGAGGGAAACAACCCAGACCGCCAGCUAAGGUCCCAAAGUCAUGGUUAAGUGGGAAACGAUGUGGGAAGGCCCAGACAGCCAGGAUGUUGGCUUAGAAGCAGCCAUCAUUUAAAGAAAGCGUAAUAGCUCACUGGUCGAGUCGGCCUGCGCGGAAGAUGUAACGGGGCUAAACCAUGCACCGAAGCUGCGGCAGCGACGUUUAUGCGUUGUUGGGUAGGGGAGCGUUCUGUAAGCCUGCGAAGGUGUACUGUGAGGUAUGCUGGAGGUAUCAGAAGUGCGAAUGCUGACAUAAGUAACGAUAAAGCGGGUGAAAAGCCCGCUCGCCGGAAGACCAAGGGUUCCUGUCCAACGUUAAUCGGGGCAGGGUGAGUCGACCCCUAAGGCGAGGCCGAAAGGCGUAGUCGAUGGGAAACAGGUUAAUAUUCCUGUACUUGGUGUUACUGCGAAGGGGGGACGGAGAAGGCUAUGUUGGCCGGGCGACGGUUGUCCCGGUUUAAGCGUGUAGGCUGGUUUUCCAGGCAAAUCCGGAAAAUCAAGGCUGAGGCGUGAUGACGAGGCACUACGGUGCUGAAGCAACAAAUGCCCUGCUUCCAGGAAAAGCCUCUAAGCAUCAGGUAACAUCAAAUCGUACCCCAAACCGACACAGGUGGUCAGGUAGAGAAUACCAAGGCGCUUGAGAGAACUCGGGUGAAGGAACUAGGCAAAAUGGUGCCGUAACUUCGGGAGAAGGCACGCUGAUAUGUAGGUGAAGUCCCUCGCGGAUGGAGCUGAAAUCAGUCGAAGAUACCAGCUGGCUGCAACUGUUUAUUAAAAACACAGCACUGUGCAAACACGAAAGUGGACGUAUACGGUGUGACGCCUGCCCGGUGCCGGAAGGUUAAUUGAUGGGGUUAGCGGUAACGCGAAGCUCUUGAUCGAAGCCCCGGUAAACGGCGGCCGUAACUAUAACGGUCCUAAGGUAGCGAAAUUCCUUGUCGGGUAAGUUCCGACCUGCACGAAUGGCGUAAUGAUGGCCAGGCUGUCUCCACCCGAGACUCAGUGAAAUUGAACUCGCUGUGAAGAUGCAGUGUACCCGCGGCAAGACGGAAAGACCCCGUGAACCUUUACUAUAGCUUGACACUGAACAUUGAGCCUUGAUGUGUAGGAUAGGUGGGAGGCUUUGAAGUGUGGACGCCAGUCUGCAUGGAGCCGGCCUUGAAAUACCACCCUUUAAUGUUUGAUGUUCUAACGUUGGCCCCUUACCGGGGUUGCGGACAGUGUCUGGUGGGUAGUUUGACUGGGGCGGUCUCCUCCUAAAGAGUAACGGAGGAGCACGAAGGUUGGCUAAUCCUGGUCGGACAUCAGGAGGUUAGUGCAAUGGCAUAAGCCAGCUUGACUGCGAGCGUGACGGCGCGAGCAGGUGCGAAAGCAGGUCAUAGUGAUCCGGUGGUUCUGAAUGGAAGGGCCAUCGCUCAACGGAUAAAAGGUACUCCGGGGAUAACAGGCUGAUACCGCCCAAGAGUUCAUAUCGACGGCGGUGUUUGGCACCUCGAUGUCGGCUCAUCACAUCCUGGGGCUGAAGUAGGUCCCAAGGGUAUGGCUGUUCGCCAUUUAAAGUGGUACGCGAGCUGGGUUUAGAACGUCGUGAGACAGUUCGGUCCCUAUCUGCCGUGGGCGCUGGAGAACUGAGGGGGGCUGCUCCUAGUACGAGAGGACCGGAGUGGACGCAUCACUGGUGUUCGGGUUGUCAUGCCAAUGGCACUGCCCGGUAGCUAAAUGCGGAAGAGAUAAGUGCUGAAAGCAUCUAAGCACGAAACUUGCCCCGAGAUGAGUUCUCCCUGACUCUUUAAGGGUCCUGAAGGAACGUUGAAGACGACGACGUUGAUAGGCCGGGUGUGUAAGCGCAGCGAUGCGUUGAGCUAACCGGUACUAAUGAACCGUGAGGCUUAACCUU